rnacentral:misc_RNA from 1 species
AACAAAGGAAAUGUUAUAUUAACAAGCGAGAUAAGUAUAUCUCUACAUGCCAGCUUUGCAAUGUCUUUCUGCAGACAUAUGUACACUGCCUUACAUAAACAGACAACAAACGAAGGGUCUAUAGUUUAUGGUACACACACAAUCACUGAAAAAGGCUUCAUUCUCAGCCGUGUUGCCAGUUUAUCUAAUCCAUGAGAUUCAACGUCACAUCCUCAUGAUGGAUUUGGGUUUGGUAUAUGAUGUAUUGCUUCUCCGUCCAAAUGAUACUUUUCCCUCAUCCGUGAACUCCAGAUGUCAGAAUGGCCACCUCUUGCAUCACCUUUAGCCAACCCAGAUGUUUGGCUUAUACGUGGAUCAAGCAGUGGCUCCCUUGUUCUUCCAACAACAUCAUAAUCUCCCUCCAUAUCAUUUAGUUUAGGGCUACUAACCAAAGUUCUGAGAACAACUGCGAGAAACAAGGAGAAUGCCUGUAUUACGAUGACAACAAUGCCAAUCCACUUACAAACAUCCAUAUUUUGUUGAAUAAAGAUGCGGAGGCUGUGAAGUUCUCCAGUUGGGUCCGUCGGAAGAUCCUUCUCCCAAUGAUGAUCAAUUGCAACAAAUGCUACCAGACUUACUUCCAGGAGUACUAAAGUCAUCAUUAGCAGAGAGUAAAAGCAAAGGCAACAUCCAUUAACAGCUUCAGCACCAACAUGCCCAAUACAAGUGAUACAACAUAAGAUAACACCAAUUCCCAUGAAGGCAUAUAUAAACCAGGGAGCUGGAAGCGAAUUUUUGUUCAACUCUGGUAAAGCGGAGACGACAGAAUUUGAAACGUCAACUGAGACGAAAUUGUGGAAUUGGGCGUCAUGAACAUCGUUGUGAUGGUGGUGGUGCCAGUGGUUAAGCAUAUAUGCAGAGUAAAUGACGAUGGAGACCCCAAUGAAAGCUUGUAAGAAAUUGAGGAAUUUCAAAAGGAAUGCGGUGAAACCUUGGCAACA